AGGGUUCGAUUCUGGCUCAGGAUGAACGCUAGCUACAGGCUUAACACAUGCAAGUCGCGGGGCAGCACUGGGAUUGCUUGCAGUCCCUGGUGGCGACCGGCGCACGGGUGAGUAACGCGUAUCCAACCUGCCCUGCAGUGGGGAACAGCCCGGCGAAAGUCGGAUUAAUGCCCCAUGGCGUCCUCGGCGGGCAUCUAAUGAGGACUAAAGGCUUCGGCCGCUGCGGGAUGGGGAUGCGUAGGAUUAGGCAGGCGGCGGGGCGACGGCCCACCGCGCCGACGAUCCUUAGGGGUUCUGAGAGGAAGGUCCCCCACACUGGUACUGAGACACGGACCAGACUCCUACGGGAGGCAGCAGUGAGGAAUAUUGGUCAAUGGGCGCGAGCCUGAACCAGCCAAGUAAGCGUGCAGGAAGACGGCCCUACGGGUUGUAAACUGCUUUUAUGCGGGGAUAAAGUGGGCUACGCGUAGCCCUUUGCAGGUACCGCAUGAAUAAGGACCGGCUAAUUCCGUGCCAGCCGCGGC
rnacentral:rRNA from 1 species